AGGGGGGGCCCUAAUACAUGCAAGUCGAACGAGUUCUGAUUAUUGAAAGGUGCUUGCAUCUUGAUUUAAUUUUGAACGAGUGGCGGACGGGUGAGUAACACGUGGGUAACCUGCCCUUAAGUGGGGGAUAACAUUUGGAAACAGAUGCUAAUACCGCAUAAAUCCAAGAACCGCAUGGUUCUUGGCUGAAAGAUGGCGUAAGCUAUCGCUUUUGGAUGGACCCGCGGCGUAUUAGCUAGUUGGUGAGGUAACGGCUCACCAAGGCAAUGAUACGUAGCCGAACUGAGAGGUUGAUCGGCCACAUUGGGACUGAGACACGGCCCAAACUCCUACGGGAGGCAGCAGUAGGGAAUCUUCCACAAUGGACGCAAGUCUGAUGGAGCAACGCCGCGUGAGUGAAGAAGGCUUUCGGGUCGUAAAACUCUGUUGUUGGAGAAGAAUGGUCGGCAGAGUAACUGUUGUCGGCGUGACGGUAUCCAACCAGAAAGCCACGGCUAACUACGUGCCAGCAGCCGCGGUAAUACGUAGGUGGCAAGCGUUAUCCGGAUUUAUUGGGCGUAAAGCGAGCGCAGGCGGUUUUUUAAGUCUGAUGUGAAAGCCCUCGGCUUAACCGAGGAAGUGCAUCGGAAACUGGGAAACUUGAGUGCAGAAGAGGACAGUGGAACUCCAUGUGUAGCGGUGAAAUGCGUAGAUAUAUGGAAGAACACCAGUGGCGAAGGCGGCUGUCUGGUCUGUAACUGACGCUGAGGCUCGAAAGCAUGGGUAGCGAACAGGAUUAGAUACCCUGGUAGUCCAUGCCGUAAACGAUGAAUGCUAGGUGUUGGAGGGUUUCCGCCCUUCAGUGCCGCAGCUAACGCAUUAAGCAUUCCGCCUGGGGAGUACGACCGCAAGGUUGAAACUCAAAGGAAUUGACGGGGGCCCGCACAAGCGGUGGAGCAUGUGGUUUAAUUCGAAGCAACGCGAAGAACCUUACCAGGUCUUGACAUCUUUUGAUCACCUGAGAGAUCAGGUUUCCCCUUCGGGGGCAAAAUGACAGGUGGUGCAUGGUUGUCGUCAGCUCGUGUCGUGAGAUGUUGGGUUAAGUCCCGCAACGAGCGCAACCCUUAUGACUAGUUGCCAGCAUUUAGUUGGGCACUCUAGUAAGACUGCCGGUGACAAACCGGAGGAAGGUGGGGAUGACGUCAAAUCAUCAUGCCCCUUAUGACCUGGGCUACACACGUGCUACAAUGGAUGGUACAACGAGUUGCGAGACCGCGAGGUCAAGCUAAUCUCUUAAAGCCAUUCUCAGUUCGGACUGUAGGCUGCAACUCGCCUACACGAAGUCGGAAUCGCUAGUAAUCGCGGAUCAGCACGCCGCGGUGAAUACGUUCCCGGGCCUUGUACACACCGCCCGUCACACCAUGAGAGUUUGUAACACCCGAAGCCGGUGGCGUAACCCUUUUAGGGAGCGAGCCGUUUAACGGGGACCAAAUUU
rnacentral:rRNA from 1 species